rnacentral:rRNA from 1 species
UUGAUCCUGGCUCAGAACGAGAGCUGGCGGCGCGUUUUAAGCAUGCAAGUCGAGCGGUAAGCAUCCUUCGGGAUGCCUAGAGCGGCGAACGGGUGAGUAACACGUAGGUAACCUGCCGUGCGAUUGGGGAUAGCCUGUGGAAACACAGGGUAAUACCGAAUACGACCUUCGGGGGAAAGGUGCUUCGGCACCGUCGUACGAUGAGCCUGCGGCGCAUUAGUUAGUUGGCGGGGUAAUGGCCCACCAAGGCGACGAUGCGUAGCCGACCUGAGAGGGUGAUCGGCCACACUGGGACUGAGAUACGGCCCAGACUCCUACGGGAGGCAGCAGCUAAGAAUCUUCCGCAAUGGACGAAAGUCUGACGGAGCGACGCCGCGUGGGCGAGGAAGGCCGAAAGGUUGUAAAGCCCUUUUCUGCGUGAGGAAUAAGAAUCGGAGGCAAUGCCGGUUUGAUGACGGUAGCGCAGGAAUAAGCCCCGGCCAAUUACGUGCCAGCAGCCGCGGUAACACGUAUGGGGCGAGCGUUGUUCGGAACUAUUGGGCGUAAAGGGCGCGCAGGCGGUCAUGCAAGCUUGGUGUGAAAGACCACGGCUUAACGGUGGAAACGCGCUGAGAACUGCAUGACUUGAGUUUCGGAGGGGGAACUGGAAUUCCAGGUGUAGGGGUGAAAUCUGUAGAUAUCUGGAAGAACAUCAGUGGCGAAGGCGAGUUCCUGGCCGACAACUGACGCUGAGGCGCGAAAGCGUGGGGAGCGAACAGGAUUAGAUACCCUGGUAGUCCACGCCGUAAACGAUGUGCCCUAGGUGUUGGGGC